GACGAACGCUGGCGGCGUGCCUAAUACAUGCAAGUAGAACGCACAGUUUAUACCGUAGCUUGCUACACCAUAGACUGUGAGUUGCGAACGGGUGAGUAACGCGUAGGUAACCUGCCUGGUAGCGGGGGGUAACUAUUGGAAACGAUAGCUAAUACCGCAUAAUAUUGAUUAUUGCAUGAUAAUUGAUUGAAAGAUGCUAUUGCAUCACUACGAGAUGGACCUGCGUUGUAUUAGCUAGUAGGUGAGGUAACGGCUCACCUAGGCGACGAUACAUAGCCGACCUGAGAGGGUGAUCGGCCACACUGGGACUGAGACACGGCCCAGACUCCUACGGGAGGCAGCAGUAGGGAAUCUUCGGCAAUGGACGAAAGUCUGACCGAGCAACGCCGCGUGAGUGAAGAAGGUUUUCGGAUCGUAAAGCUCUGUUGUAAGAGAAGAACGGGUGUGAGAGUGGAAAGUUCACACUGUGACGGUAUCUUACCAGAAAGGGACGGCUAACUACGUG
rnacentral:rRNA from 1 species